AUGAGAGGUGGAGUCUGAACUGGGAGGGUGGUGGACUGGUUUAGCUCAAAUGUUAGCAGAAUUUCCUUUCAAUUCAUGUUUCCUGCUUUGAAACUACCGAGAAAAAGCACCACCAAAAUGACAGAGACGUCUUUAAAAAUCUUAGAGACAGGCCCUACCUGUAGAGAGGACAGGAAGGCGUGGAGAUCUGCUCUUCUUCCAAUAACUGGAAGACUCUCCAGGGAAAACAGCUUCAGUUUCUCUUACCUCUAGUUGCUUUUGGGCGUGGCCAUCUCUCCUGGACACGGACCUUUUGUGAGGGAGUUUGGCAAUAGGGGAGGUGAGGUAAAGAUCUCCAAAAGAAAGGCCUAGCAAUUACAUCUCCUGUUACACCUGCCAACCUUUACUGCUGCAUCGUGAUUAUCAUUGUGCUUAUAGCUCUAAAUGUGGUGUUACUUUUCAUUUUUUUGGCAGGUGAGUUACCUGUUCUUCAAGCCAUAUGAUGUUCUUUGCACAUUCACGUUGUAAAUAAAUAUUUAUUGAGCUCCAUUAUGUUCCAGGGUGUGUGAAAUGCUUGAGGUGUAUCAGUGAACAAAAUACUCCUAUUCUAUUAAUAGCAGGAAGAUGCAGAUGUUAUAGUAUAGGGUAAUAGGUUGAGAUAAAUGUAAAUGUCCAGGGCAAGCCUCCUUGAGAAAACGACUGUUCAGCAAACUAUUGAAGGAGAUGAAGGAGCCAUUGGGCAUGUGGGGAAUGCAUUGCAGAUGGCAGGAACAAGUAGAAUGAAAGGAGGAAGCUCCUGGCAGGUUUGGGGAACAGCACGGAGGCUUCUACACUUGAAGCAAGGUGAGAAUGAGGAAGAAUAAUGGGCUGGGGGUCAGGGAGGUCACAGCCUAAUGAGUCAGAUAAAGACUUUGGCUUUUAAUCUGAGUUCAUUGGGGGAUAGCAAGAAGAGGGAAAUUGUAGGAGAGGAAUGCCAUGAUCUGAAUUUCAUUGUAGAAUAAUAUUUUGACUGCUACAUUGAGAAUCAUGUAAUGUGUAUAUUUAUUAACAUAAUAGUUUUCAUAGAACAUUCUAUUCUAAGGCAAAUCCUCAAUAUAAUAAGAUCACUUGGGAAAAGCAACUGCCACUAGUUUGUACUCAGCAAGUGAUCACAGAUCUCAAUAUUCCAUUUUCCCAGAAACCAAAAACAAAAAACGACCUCAAAAGACUUGUUGUUUUGGCAAGCAGUUAAGUGCAAUCACAUUUCCAAGUAUUGAGUAACAGUUGGUGUUUUAUAAAUGACUAAGGCUGAUAACAUUCUAAGAGGCAUUAGAAAUGCACUGGAGAAUAUGUUCCUGGAAGUAAAAUAAGAUGAGAGAAAAUUAUGUAAUGGAUGGUGCCAAAAUACAUAUAAAGGAAAACUAUUCAUUUGGAAAAACAGACAAAUUUGGGCUUGGGAAACAUUUCUAAGAAUCUGUCUACCUGUAGAAAGUAGCCCCAGUUCACAUUUUGAGAAAAGCAAAAGAUUAUUAGCCAAGGCCAUAAAAGUACAAGAGUGUAGUUGCUCUUUGGCCAUGCUUUUUUUUCAACCCCUCAUUUUGGAAUUGAGUUAUACUGUACUUCCAUAGACAUGUACACACGUGUGUAUAUACAUAUGUAAAAAAAGACUGACCUCAGGAUGGUAAGUGGAAAAGUAGAUAAAAGGGAUAAGAAAAUUUAUUUGAUAUGCUGCAGUGUUUCUGUCCAACUUUUAGUGAGAAGCAGAAAGCCAGACCCACAUGUUCUGUAUGUCGCUUGCCCAAAAGGAUGGAUUGGAUUUGGGUAUAAGUGUUUUUAUUUUUCGGAAGACUCAAAGAAUUGGACAUUCAGUCAGACAUUCUGUACUUCACUGGGAGCUGUUCUUGUUCAGUUUGAAACGGAGGAGGAGCUGAACUUUCUGAAAAGAUACAAAGACUCUUCCGACCAUUGGAUUGGCCUUAGCAGAGAAUCAUCAAAUCAUCCUUGGAAGUGGACAGACAACUCUAAAUAUAAUGCCUCAUUUGUCAUCACAGGAACUGGGGAAUGUGCCUACCUGAAUGACAUUAGAAUUAGUAGUUCCAGGGUAUACGCAAAUAGAAAAUGGAUUUGCAGCAAGACAAAUAGUAAUGUCUUCAUACCUUUAAGUACUUCAAGGGCUUUUUAGGGAAUUUCACACACCAUUUCCAAGAGAUGCAUUUCACCCAGCCAUGUCUGACCUUUUGUGACCCCAUGGGCU